rnacentral:rRNA from 1 species
CAGUAGCCACGGGAAUACCAGCAGCCCAAGUGGUGGUCGCGAUUAUUGGGCCUAAAGCGCUCGUAGCCGGGCCGGUAAGUCCCUUGUGAAAUCGGACGGCCUAACCGUUCGGCGUGCAAGGGAUACUGUCGGUCUUGAGGCCGGGAGACGUCCGAGGUACUCCGGGGGUAGCGGUGAAAUGUUCUGAUCCUCGGGGGACCACCGGUGGCGAAGGCGUUCGACGAGAACGGGCCUGACGGUGAGGGGCGAAGGCUAGGGGAGCAAACGGGAUUAGAGACCCCUGUAGUCCCUGUCUCUUAUU